UAUAUAUAUAUCUCUCUCGAAGAGGAAUAAAAAGUGGUGUAAGAAAAUGGCAUAUUAGCACAAAUAUGAUAGCGUUGUUUCUUUGUCCUUUUCUUCUACAUUAGAAGCUCAUUUGAGCAGGGCUUUCAUCAACUCUUUGUCUGCAAAAAAAAAACCUUGUUAAAUAACCCAAUUGAAGAAUUAAAGCAUCUCUAGAAUUGUUGCCUUUAUAUGAUUAAGAUGCCACGGGCAUUAAGCACUGUGGCAUAUAUGUUUGGUGGCAAUAAAGGGUUAAGCGGUCCUGUUGGUACAGUUAGGGAAAGUUUAGAGAGUUCAUGACCCCUGGUCAGGUUAUUUGGUAAAGUGGGACAAGUAGCUGGGCAGCUAUGGUGACACAGCUGGCUGAGGAUUGGUUGCUGGCCAUGAGCCAGCGGAGCGUGGAAAGCCAGGUAAGCAUAAAAAGGUGACAUCGCAAGCUGUUCUCGAUCAGGGAAGAUUGG